rnacentral:rRNA from 1 species
GUUAAGCGACUAAGCGUACACGGUGGAUGCCCUGGCAGUCAGAGGCGAUGAAGGACGUGCUAAUCUGCGAUAAGCGUCGGUAAGGUGAUAUGAACCGUUAUAACCGGCGAUUUCCGAAUGGGGAAACCCAGUGUGAUUCGUCACACUAUCAUUAACUGAAUCCAUAGGUUAAUGAGGCGAACCGGGGGAACUGAAACAUCUAAGUACCCCGAGGAAAAGAAAUCAACCGAGAUUCCCCCAGUAGCGGCGAGCGAACGGGGAGCAGCCCAGAGCCUGAAUCAGUGUGUGUGUUAGUGGAAGCGUCUGGAAAGGCGUGCGAUACAGGGUGACAGCCCCGUACACAAAAAUGCACAUACUGUGAGCUCGAUGAGUAGGGCGGGACACGUGGUAUCCUGUCUGAAUAUGGGGGGACCAUCCUCCAAGGCUAAAUACUCCUGACUGACCGAUAGUGAACCAGUACCGUGAGGGAAAGGCGAAAAGAACCCCGGCGAGGGGAGUGAAAAAGAACCUGAAACCGUGUACGUACAAGCAGUGGGAGCACGCUUAGGCGUGUGACUGCGUACCUUUUGUAUAAUGGGUCAGCGACUUAUAUUCUGUAGCAAGGUUAACCGAAUAGGGGAGCCGAAGGGAAACCGAGUCUUAACUGGGCGUUAAGUUGCAGGGUAUAGACCCGAAACCCGGUGAUCUAGCCAUGGGCAGGUUGAAGGUUGGGUAACACUAACUGGAGGACCGAACCGACUAAUGUUGAAAAAUUAGCGGAUGACUUGUGGCUGGGGGUGAAAGGCCAAUCAAACCGGGAGAUAGCUGGUUCUCCCCGAAAGCUAUUUAGGUAGCGCCUCGUGAAUUCAUCUCCGGGGGUAGAGCACUGUUUCGGCAAGGGGGUCAUCCCGACUUACCAACCCGAUGCAAACUGCGAAUACCGGAGAAUGUUAUCACGGGAGACACACGGCGGGUGCUAACGUCCGUCGUGAAGAGGGAAACAACCCAGACCGCCAGCUAAGGUCCCAAAGUCAUGGUUAAGUGGGAAACGAUGUGGGAAGGCCCAGACAGCCAGGAUGUUGGCUUAGAAGCAGCCAUCAUUUAAAGAAAGCGUAAUAGCUCACUGGUCGAGUCGGCCUGCGCGGAAGAUGUAACGGGGCUAAACCAUGCACCGAAGCUGCGGCAGCGACGCUUAUGCGUUGUUGGGUAGGGGAGCGUUCUGUAAGCCUGUGAAGGUGUACUGUGAGGUAUGCUGGAGGUAUCAGAAGUGCGAAUGCUGACAUAAGUAACGAUAAAGCGGGUGAAAAGCCCGCUCGCCGGAAGACCAAGGGUUCCUGUCCAACGUUAAUCGGGGCAGGGUGAGUCGACCCCUAAGGCGAGGCCGAAAGGCGUAGUCGAUGGGAAACAGGUUAAUAUUCCUGUACUUGGUGUUACUGCGAAGGGGGGACGGAGAAGGCUAUGUUGGCCGGGCGACGGUUGUCCCGGUUUAAGCGUGUAGGCUGGUUUUCCAGGCAAAUCCGGAAAAUCAAGGCCGAGGCGUGAUGACGAGGCACUACGGUGCUGAAGCAACAAAUGCCCUGCUUCCAGGAAAAGCCUCUAAGCAUCAGGUAACAUCAAAUCGUACCCCAAACCGACACAGGUGGUCAGGUAGAGAAUACCAAGGCGCUUGAGAGAACUCGGGUGAAGGAACUAGGCAAAAUGGUGCCGUAACUUCGGGAGAAGGCACGCUGAUACGUAGGUGAAGCGACUUGCUCGUGGAGCUGAAAUCAGUCGAAGAUACCAGCUGGCUGCAACUGUUUAUUAAAAACACAGCACUGUGCAAACACGAAAGUGGACGUAUACGGUGUGACGCCUGCCCGGUGCCGGAAGGUUAAUUGAUGGGGUUAGCGCAAGCGAAGCUCUUGAUCGAAGCCCCGGUAAACGGCGGCCGUAACUAUAACGGUCCUAAGGUAGCGAAAUUCCUUGUCGGGUAAGUUCCGACCUGCACGAAUGGCGUAAUGAUGGCCAGGCUGUCUCCACCCGAGACUCAGUGAAAUUGAACUCGCUGUGAAGAUGCAGUGUACCCGCGGCAAGACGGAAAGACCCCGUGAACCUUUACUAUAGCUUGACACUGAACAUUGAGCCUUGAUGUGUAGGAUAGGUGGGAGGCUUUGAAGUGUGGACGCCAGUCUGCAUGGAGCCGACCUUGAAAUACCACCCUUUAAUGUUUGAUGUUCUAACGUGGACCCGUAAUCCGGGUUGCGGACAGUGUCUGGUGGGUAGUUUGACUGGGGCGGUCUCCUCCUAAAGAGUAACGGAGGAGCACGAAGGUUGGCUAAUCCUGGUCGGACAUCAGGAGGUUAGUGCAAUGGCAUAAGCCAGCUUGACUGCGAGCGUGACGGCGCGAGCAGGUGCGAAAGCAGGUCAUAGUGAUCCGGUGGUUCUGAAUGGAAGGGCCAUCGCUCAACGGAUAAAAGGUACUCCGGGGAUAACAGGCUGAUACCGCCCAAGAGUUCAUAUCGACGGCGGUGUUUGGCACCUCGAUGUCGGCUCAUCACAUCCUGGGGCUGAAGUAGGUCCCAAGGGUAUGGCUGUUCGCCAUUUAAAGUGGUACGCGAGCUGGGUUUAGAACGUCGUGAGACAGUUCGGUCCCUAUCUGCCGUGGGCGCUGGAGAACUGAGGGGGGCUGCUCCUAGUACGAGAGGACCGGAGUGGACGCAUCACUGGUGUUCGGGUUGUCAUGCCAAUGGCACUGCCCGGUAGCUAAAUGCGGAAGAGAUAAGUGCUGAAAGCAUCUAAGCACGAAACUUGCCCCGAGAUGAGUUCUCCCUGACCCUUUAAGGGUCCUGAAGGAACGUUGAAGACGACGACGUUGAUAGGCCGGGUGUGUAAGCGCAGCGAUGCGUUGAGCUAACCGGUACUAAUGAACCGUGAGG